rnacentral:rRNA from 1 species
UACAGAGGCCUCAAGCGUUGUUCGGAUUUAUUGGGCGUAAAGGGUGCGUAGGCGGUACCGAAAGUUAGGUGUGAAAGUUCGAGGCUCAACCUCGAAAUUGCACCUAAUACUCCGGUGCUUGAGUCUCAUAGAGGAAUCUGGAAUUCACGGUGUAGCAGUGAAAUGCGUAGAUAUCGUGAAGAAGGCCUGUGGCGAAAGCAAGAUUCUGGGUGACGACUGACGCUGAGGCACGAAAGCUAGGGGAGCGAACGGG